UACGGAGGGUGCAAGCGUUAUCCGGAUCCACUGGGUUUAAAGGGUGCGUAGGAGGGCAGGGAAGUCAGUGGUGAAAUCUCCGGGCUUAACUCGGAAACUGCCGUUGAUACUCUCUGUCUUGAAUACCGUGGAGGUGAGCGGAAUAUGUCAUGUAGCGGUGAAAUGCUUAGAUAUGACAUAGAACACCAAUUGCGAAGGCAGCUCACUACACGCAUAUUGACUCUGAGGCACGAAAGCGUGGGGAUCAAACAGG
rnacentral:rRNA from 1 species